rnacentral:lncRNA from 12 species
UUUUCUAAAGGUGCACUUUUAUUGACCUUUUCUUGUUUUUAAAAUGCAAUACAUUACUUCAGAUAAAAUAAUUAACAACAUUAAACUACAGUACAACUCUCAUCUGAGAAUGAAAGACAUGAGAUUUUUAAAUUUGUGUCAAUAAAAGUACUGAAAAUACUGAAAGAUCUUUUGACAUUUUGUUCUACAGCACAUAUUGUAUAUUUAUUGGCUGAUGGGAAAACUAUCUGCCAGUAAUUUAUAAUGUGUCGUUAUUUAGUCAAGCCAACUUUAACAUGUGAUAUUGUUUAUGAUUAUGAUAUUCAUUUACAUCUUCAGGUGAAAUCUGCUGAAGCUUCAGACUAUAAGGUUUGUUAAUUUCAGUAAUCAUUUUACUGAUGUUAGAGAUGAGCAACAGUUGAACUGACCGCAUUUAAUUGUCAUAUUAGGAUGAUUUAACUUCCUCAUGGAAACACGCUGAUCUCGAGGCUUUGAGAGAGAAGAAAGCAGACGAUGUGGACUGCAAACCGAAGCAGCCACAUAAAUUCAAGCCUCCUGUAGCACACCUACCAUCAAAGGAAAACUUUGCAGUUGGUCUGAAAUCAAUGAAUGGUCCUCCACUGAUGGAAUCAAAGGUAUUUUCAUUGGCCUUUUGCAUAAUACAUACAGGAUUGAAGAGAGACCAGAAAAUAUAUUAAAAUGAUCUAAGGGAAGAACAUAAAGCUACUACAUUUUUUCUGUUUUAACCCAUCAGCUGUUGACACAUCAUGAUCAUAUUCAGUUGAUCAUAUUAUUUGAAACCAUGUCUCUACUGUUUGCAGUCCUUCUCCAAAGAUCCCUUUCUGGAAGGAGAUCUGGAUCUUGGCGCUUCAGUCCGUCACAGUCAUCAGACAGCAGAGAUCGACACACAUCCGGAUGAUGAAGAGCGAAACGCAGAGGAGACUGAUGGACAGCAGAAAUCGAAAAAGAAAGUGCGAGUUAAGUUUGUUCCACACCGAGGGUUUGUCAUCGGUUUAUCCAGGGUGAGUCCUGACGCCUCUCUGCUUCAUUUGUUUGAGCUCUUCUUUGGUUUUCAAACA